rnacentral:rRNA from 1 species
UACAGAGGGUGCGAGCGUUAAUCGGAAUUACUGGGCGUAAAGGGCGCGUAGGCGGUUAAAUAAGUUAUGUGUGAAAGCUCUGGGCUUAACCUGGGAACUGCACAUAAUACUGUUAAGCUAGAGUAGAGUAGAGGAAAGUGGAAUUUCCGGUGUAGCGGUGAAAUGCGUAGAUAUCGGAAGGAACACCAGUGGCGAAGGCGGCUUUCUGGACUCAUACUGACGCUGAGGCGCGAAAGCGUGGGGAGCAAACAGG